rnacentral:lncRNA from 1 species
CACGAAUUAUCCAUGCACUACGGGCCAAGGAUAUUCGUGUUUUCACCAAUGGUCAUGAUUAUACUGAAUAAUCCCUGGUCAUAAUCAUACCAACAAUUGUCCAUCAAUGUACUACGGGCCAAUGAGGACUUUUACCACAUUAUUUGUAACAUUACGGGUCAUGAUUAUACCGAAUGAUCCCUGGUCAUAAUCAUACCAAUCAACAGUUCAUUUUUUCACCCUUGCCCGAAGAUGACUUUCAUCACAAUAUAAGUAUGAGGAUGAUGACAAUGAUAUAAGCAUUAAUCAAACGAAAUCAUUGAUAAAUAUUAGAGACUUUAAAUUUAUCCAGAGUUUAAAAAUAUCCAAAUUGUCAACAUGAUACUGAUUUAUGGAGUAAAAUUCAAGAAUAAUAUUCAUGUAUCAAAAAUAAUUUUGGACAGAAAAGAAAUCAAUUUUUAUCGUGAAUAGUACCCCGUGUGAAUAGUAACCGAGUGGAUAGUACCCCGUGAAUAGUACUUCGGGAAUAGUACCCCAUGAAUAGUACCCCGGCAUGAAAAGUGCCUCGAAUACCCGAGUGAAUAGUAAUCGGAUGAAUAGUAACCCAUGA